ensembl:snRNA U6 U6 spliceosomal RNA
GUGCUCACUUAGACAGCAUAUAUGCUAAAAGUGGAACAAUACGGAGAAGAACAGCAUGGUCACUGCACAAGGAUGACACGCAAACUCGUGAAGCGUUCCAUAUGUAA